GCUGUCGUCAGCUCGUGUUGUGAAAUGUUGGGUUAAGUCCCGCAACGAGCGCAACCCUUAUCCUUUGUUGCCAGCGACUCGGUCGGGAACUCAAAGGAGACUGCCGGUGAUAAACCGGAGGAAGGUGGGGAUGACGUCAAGUCAUCAUGGCCCUUACGAGUAGGGCUACACACGUGCUACAAUGGCGUAUACAAAGAGAAGCGACCUCGCGAGAGCAAGCGGAACUCAUAAAGUACGUCGUAGUCCGGAUUGGAGUCUGCAACUCGACUCCAUGAAGUCGGAAUCGCUAGUAAUCGUAGAUCAGAAUGCUACGGUGAAUACGUUCCCGGGCCUUGUACACACCGCCCGUCACACCAUGGGAGUGGGUUGCAAAAGAAGUAGGUAGCUUAACCUUCGGGAGGGCGCUUACCACUUUGUGAUUCAUGACUGGGGUGAAGUCGUAACAAGGUAACCGUAGGGGAACCUGCGGUUGGAUCACCUCCUUA
rnacentral:rRNA from 1 species